AACAGGAUUAGAUACCCUGGUAGUCCAUGCCGUAAACGAUGUCUACUAGCCGUUGGGGCCUUUGAGGCUUUAGUGGCGCAGCUAACGCGAUAAGUAGACCGCCUGGGGAGUACGGUCGCAAGACUAAAACUCAAAUGAAUUGACGGGGGCCCGCACAAGCGGUGGAGCAUGUGGUUUAAUUCGAUGCAACGCGAAGAACCUUACCUGGUCUUGACAUAGUAAGAACUUUCCAGAGAUGGAUUGGUGCCUUCGGGAACUUACAUACAGGUGCCGCAUGGCUGUCGUCAGCUCGUGUCGUGAGAUGUUGGGUUAAGUCCCGCAACGAGCGCAACCCUUUUCCUUAUUUGCCAGCACUUCGGGUGGGAACUUUAAGGAUACUGCCAGUGACAAACUGGAGGAAGGCGGGGACGACGUCAAGUCAUCAUGGCCCUUACGACCAGGGCUACACACGUGCUACAAUGGUCGGUACAAGGGGUUGCUACCUAGCGAUAGGAUGCUAAUCUCAAAAAGCCGAUCGUAGUCCGGAUUGGAGUCUGCAACUCGACUCCAUGAAGUCGGUAUCGCUAGUAAUCGCGGAUCAGAAUGCCGCGGUGAAUACGUUCCCGGGCCUUGUACACACCGCCCGUCACACCAUGGGAGUUUGUUGCACCAGAAGUAGGUAGUCUAACCGUAAGGAGGACGCUUACCACGGUGUGGCCGAUGACUGGGGUGAAGUCGUAACAAGGUAACC
rnacentral:rRNA from 1 species